rnacentral:misc_RNA from 1 species
UAAUAAAGUGUUUUAUGGCACUUUUUAAAAAUCCAUAUCCACCUUGUGUGCAAUGUUAGAUCUUGUCAUUUAUAUAUAUAUGGCGAGAUUUUUAUACAUCAACUCUAUCUUUAACUAAUUUGUCUGAAAAAUAUUAUGAAUACUUAAUUCAAAAUA